rnacentral:lncRNA from 1 species
CUUUUGAGUUACAGGAUGGAAAGAACUCAGUGGCUAUUCUGAUACCACAGUAGCAGCAAAAAUGGCACCUAUGAGAUCUUGUACCUUCCAGGUAUCUCUGACCUCUUCAAGAAAGAGGUGAUGGAAAAAUAUCCACCCAGGAAGGCAUUAGGUUGACCCCCUCUACUUUUAUAGUUCUUGAACUGUGUACAAGAGAUGGGUGACUAAUAACUGAACUGCAAUGGAGUUGGCUUUACCAUUUGAGUCUCUUUCUCAGUCUUCAUCAGGGUUGCGAAGACUUGGAGUAAAAAACAAAGAGGAGAGAGUGAAUGCUGUUAUGGAAACUGGACUGUCUUACUGAGCUGAAUGGAUUUUGAACUGUGUACAAGAGACAGGUGACUAAACUCUGACCUGCAAUGGAGGUGGCCUCACCCAUAAAGUCUCUUCCUUAGUUUUGAUCUGGAAUGCUAAGACUUGGUCCACCAAAAACAAAGGAGAAGAGUGUGAAAAGUUUUUCAGAAACUUGACCAUCUUGCUACACUAAAUGCAUUUUGAACUGUUUGCAGAAGAUGGGUGACUAAUUACUGACCUACAAUGGAACUGACCUCACCCAUAAAAUCUCCUCAGUCCUGAUCUAGAAUGUUAAGACUUGGUCCACCAAAAAAGAGGAAAAGUGUGUGAAAACCAUUUUGGAAACAGGACUGUCUUGCUGUACUGAACGGAUCUUGAACUGUAUACAAGAGAUAGGUGACCAAUAGCCGACCUCUAAUGGAGUUGGCUCCACCCACAAAGUCUCUUCUUCAGUCUUGAUCUCGGUUCCUAAGACUUGGUCCACCAAAAAAACAAAGAGAAGUGUGUGAAAACUGUUUUGGAAACUGGACUGUCUUGCUGUGCUGAUCGGAUCCUGAACAGUGUACAAGAGAUGGGUGACUAAUAACUGACCCGCAUUGGAUUCGGCUUCAUCCAUUAAGUGUCUUCCUCAGUCUUGACCUGGAAUGCUAAGACUUGGUCCACCCCCAAUAAAAGGAAUAGAGUGUGAAAACUAUUUCGGAAACAGGACUGUCUUGCUGCGCCUAACAGAUCUUGAACUGUGUAUAAGAGAUGGGUGACUAAUAGCUGACACACAAUGGAGUUGGCUUCACCCACAAAGUCUCUUCCUCAGUCUUGAUCUCUGGCAUGCUAAGACUUGGUCCACAAAAAAAAGUAAGAGAAGAGUGUGAAAGCUGUUUCGGAAACAGGACUGUCUUGCUGUGCUGAACAGAUCUUGCGUUUUGUACAAGAGACGGGUGACUAACAGCCGACCAGCAAUGACAUCGGCUUCACCCAUAACGUCUCUUCCUCAGUUUUGAUCUGGAAUGGUAAGACUUGGUCCACUAAAAGAAACAAAGAGAAGAGUGUGAAAACUAUUUCGGAACCUAGACUGUCUUGCUACGCUGAAUGGAUCUUGAACUGUGUACCAGAGACGGGUGAGGUCUUGCUGACGGCUGAAUCUUGCUGCGCUGAAUGGAUUUUGAACCGUGUAUCAGAGACCUGUGACUAGUAGCUGACUUAUAAUGGAGUCUGCCUGACCUGUGAAGCCACUUCCUCAGUCUUGAUCGGAUCUUGGACUUUUUAUAAGAGACCAAGACCUUGAGUACUUGAUUAUUCCUAGUCUGUGGAGCAGGGUUCAGAUAUCAUGUUGGAUUGCACUGGUCAGUGAAGAAGAAGUGUAGUGCAGUGUAUCUCAUGAUUGUAUUCUUCGACCACCCAAAGCUGGAUACCAAGGUGUGAACGCAAUCAGCAAGAGACCAGAGACAAAUAUCAAUCUUCGAAAGAAGCUAAAUCGGAUCGACCCCUAAUUCAGAGAAUAAAAUGAAAAAUUGGGGUUUGAUCCAUUCACCGUCCCCCCAACAAACCCGCCCCAUUAGACAGUUUACAACAGAGUACUCCGAAAACUUAACCAGGGUUUGAUCCGUCCACCGUCCCCCAACAAACGCACCUCCAUUAGACAGUUUACGAUAGAUUUCUAUCUACUCUGGAAAAUUCCCACACCCGUCAAUUUUAGUAAGUACGUUGUGCUGUACAUCUUUUAAAACAGUCAACUAAUAAUACAAUACAGUAUUACAAUACAAUCUUUUAUUAGACAUGUACAUAACACUGGUAGUAUUACAAUCUUCCUCCUACAAUCUAAUAAUACAGUAAUUUUACAAUAAUAUAUAAUUCAUACCACUAGUAAUAUUAUAAUCUUCCUCUUACAAUCUCAUAAUACUAAAAUAAUUUUAGACGGUGUUAUUUUUCUCCAACCAACCUCCCCUACUACACCCACCCUUCAGAGAAAUUUAUUAAGUCUUUCAAUAACUUGUCUACUUUGUGGUACAAACAUUUUUAAAAAUGAAUCUUAAUUGUAAACAAAUGUCUGUCUCAAAACACAUGCGUAUUACGAGAAAUAUUCAGCUGUUUUCAGA